rnacentral:lncRNA from 1 species
AACUGGGUCCGUACAGGUCAAAUGCGACACCAUCCUGUGUGAUUUGAUUAUCCGCCUGCUGCCUCGAUGCAGCUACACCACCUCACUCUUUCAUUACAGGGGAAGCAGAGGUGGGGCGGGAAUGUGCUCAUCAUGAGGCAGUCACGGAUCUUGACUCGGUCUAGACGAGAGAUCUGAGAGUCUCCAUCCGUCAUCUUUCAGGAUCCUCCUCAUGCUUCAGUGGCGGUGGGAAGUGCACCUCUGCACAGGAAGUGUACACAGCUCCGUUUCCCAGGAGUCGCUUGGCUCAUCACCAGACGACAUUACGUUGGGCUUCAUGCUGUCAGCUGGAUGACUGAACCUGACGGAGUUCUGGUCCAGUCUUUGCUCUACACCUGCACUUGUGGUCUUCGCACUGCUGUCCGCAUGUUUGUCCACCGAAGAGAGGAAUGAGAGGUGGCACAGCCCAGAUCGGGAUCUAAAGUCAGAGGAGCUGUGAAUGAACAAGAGCGGUGAAGGUGCUCCCACAGUCAUACCGCGUACCUUGGAUGUAAGAUUGACAACACCACCUUCUGCCUCCCAGCGACCCCUAACUCCAUCAGGACUCUCUGCAGGAAAGUUAAAAUAUCUCAAAGUAGCAGGUUUAGAGGUGUCCUGGGUCCGUUGUCUGGCAUGAAUGUAUCAUGAGUGGGAAGGCAAAGAAAAACACAUUUUAUUUUUGUUCCCAUAUUAUUCAGAAAUGGUUUCUCACCAAAUAAAUGUAGCCUUAAUUGGCAACUGUUGUUGAUUGAAUCAAAUAACAAGUUAAACCAGAUAAACAAACUGUAGGUUAUGUGGCUCCUUUUUGAUUUUCUAAAUCAAUUGUAAUUGUG